GCUCAGAAUAGUCCUAAUUUCUGCCCUACGCUUCUGGGUAUUUCCAGCAAGACUGUUGUUAAUUUUUCAGAAAAGCUUCUGGCCUAAUUAGAAGUAAGAUAUCAACAUCUCAAUCAAUAUUUUGCUAGGAUGAAGACAGACGACAUUGUCUUUUACAUUUUUUUUUCUUUAUAUAAGGAUGUGGACAAAAAAUCUGCCAGAUUUGCCUGGACCAAACCCAAACGAGUGAUUUGUGCCCUUCAGCUUUGGAGGCAUCAUUUUAAAAAGCCGUGCUGUCUGCAAACUGCAAGACAGACGACCUGGGCUUUUAAUAAUCCGGAUUGAACAGUAACACAGCAGUUUUGUGGAAUCGGUGGUGUUUCUGGGACCCAAUUCUCAAUUAAAGUGUAGAAGAAAACCUAAAGAUCACUUUGUGCCUACUCAGUCCUUGCCACUCAUUUGGAUUGUGCAAUCCUGCCUGCCCAAGCCAUUCCAAGGUGAACGUGGACAGCAGGUGGCAACAGCAGAGCUUGCAACAUCCUUUGAUUGCAUUCUCCAUUCAAAUAAAUGUCAACCUGUAUUGCAAUCACCGUUUUAGGUCAGAAAGCAUAUCCAUGUUAAUAACUGCAACAGAAGGUUUAAUUGUUUGUGUGGAGUGAGGGAGUGGAGGAACUCAGAAGUAGUAAUUAGCUUGGAGCUACCCAUAAAGUGUGACCUAAGAUUUUUUGUUGUUGGAAUGGGAAUGUGGAAGCACUUUUCACCAUGAAAAAGGUGAAAAAGUCAAAAGUCUUUAUUUCAUCUGAAUGUUUACCUAGUUAAAUAUUAGGGUUGGAAUUGAUAGUAGUAAUGGAGAAGGCAGUAAUGGUGUAGGCGUUAAGAUAAAGAAAUAAGGGGGCAAUUCUGCAGGUGUUAUGAUCAGUUAAAUUUACUGCCAUGAAAGUGAGUGGAAUGAGCAUUUUUUUUUCAAUAAAUGUUGUGGCUUUCCUAGUACAGGACAAAAUGGAUUUUUAUACCAUUUAAUUUUAGUCUCUUAGUUUUGAUGUCUCUCUAGGCUGCAAAGAAACUAAAUGUUUUUAGUUAAAUAAGACAACCUGAAGCUAUAAUUAGUCCUGCCACUAUACUUCUGUGCAUUCUUAUAUUCAGGAGAGAGGACAGCAGCAAAGUAUUACUGACAAGCACUUACUAAAACACAACAUACUUUGGUUUGCCUGUAACAUUUACUAAACAGGAAUGUCACAUGGCCUGAAGAAUGGAAAGGAAACUGUAAAUGGGAACAAAUAUACCUACAC